rnacentral:piRNA from 1 species
GUACUAAGGCCUGACAGUGAUGGACAUA